UGCAAUGUACAACAGGACAAU
rnacentral:piRNA from 1 species